UUGACCUCAAAUCGGGUGAGACUACCCGCUGAACUUAAGCAUAUCAAUAAGCGGAGGAAAAGAAACUAACAAGGAUUCCCCUAGUAACUGCGAGUGAAGCGGGAAAAGCUCAAAUUUAAAAUCUGGCGGUCUUUGGCCGUCCGAGUUGUAAUUUAGAGAAGCGUCUUCCGCGCCGGACCGUGCACAAGUCUCCUGGAAUGGAGCGU
rnacentral:rRNA from 1 species